rnacentral:tRNA from 1 species
ACCGAGCUGGCGAAGGCCGUCGCCCGCGCCUGCGAGGCCCGGCUGGUGCGGCUCCAGUGCUACGAGGGCGUGGACGAGUCGCGCGCGCUGUAC